ensembl:lncRNA
GUGGGCAUGGUGGGGGUGGGCUGGGGUUGGACUUGAGGAUCUUGGAGGUCUUUUCCAGUCUUAAUGAUUCUGUGAUUCUAUUGUUCAGUGCUCUUAUGGGAGUUCAAGACAGACAGCAUAGCUUGGUGGUACAAGACACUCCCAAUGCACAAGCUUUAGAGAGCAAACAAUGCUGGUGCUUGCCCCCCUAGCGGCGAUGCUCAAUUCAGGCAUUACCCUUGAUGAGACACCUUGGUGCUCUUGGCUCAUUGCACAGUAUGGUGACAAAGGGCAUGGCCCCUUAUGGCACAUAAAGAUUACCAAGAAGACCACGUUGCGAAGCCUGAAUGGAAAGCAGAGUAUCUAAAGCAGAAGCUGGGGGCUGAAAGGCACACAGAAAUCCAGGUCUGAGGCUUUGGCUUAAAACUGCAUUUUCAAGGGGAGAAAAUGAAAACGUGCAUGUUGUUUGUUAUCCUUGGCAAAAAUCAUGGUAGUCUGCAAGAGGAGGCAGAUCAGACCCUUAGAUGUGUGUUGAGUGUGUGAUAGGUUAUUGUUAUGGAGAAGCUCCACAUCUGAGAGCUGAGAAUAUCUCACUUUUAAAUGAGAGGGUGAACCUUGACAACGAGUGCAAUAUUGCUUUACCGAGAAACCUCUCACAAAAGAGCUCUAUUUUCUGACAGCCAACAUGCUAAAUUAAACAGCUUCCACGUGUGUCAAUAAAAGGAAUUGGCUUCAUUAUUUGCAGUCCCCCAGUGAUAAUUUCUAGUCUCCUUUGGUAAAUGUCAUUAUGCUUCCAGAAGGCCAUCUGCACAUGGGCAAAUGGGUUGGUGAGUGCUCCCUGCUGGGGAAUGGAGCACAGUGGGGCUGGAGAUGCGGGGGCAGGAGGUUGGGCAGUGUCUGGGGGACCCCUGUGGUGUCAGGAGGCAUGGAGGGCCCAUUGGGCAGCACAGGGUACUGACUGAAACCAGACUGUGUGGCAAUAUGACCUGGUCCAAAGCCCAUUGCAGGAAAUGGGGGGAGGCUCUGGGCUCCUGGUUCCAGUUCUCAAUCUUGCUCACUUUCCCAACCCAUUUCCAGGCCCUUUCCUCACUCUGUCCACAGCUUCCUCAACCCUGCACGUAGCUCUUCCCUUUUCUUUUCCACCAAGGUGAAGGUGAUCAAUGAAAAACUCUGGAAGCCACUCAGUGCAGGAGGGAAACGGGUACAAAUAUGUUGGGACCUUGCUGUAAUUCCAAGCCAAGCUCCCAGAUGCAUCCUCUUGAGGAAACCAAACCCAUCAGCUGCAGCAUGGGGCUCUGCUGGUGGAGCUGGGAAACCUGCAGCCCUGCUGAAUACUAGCAGCCAUGCAGACCAUGAAUGGAGGGAUGCGCUUGACUUACCCACUUACCUGCUCACGACGCCAUCUGCAGCAUUGUGCAGUAUCUCAUGGACAAAAGGUGCUAGGCAGGAGAGGGAGAAGGUAUGAUUUUGGCCCAGGAUGGUUGGAAAGCUUUUUUCCACAUAUUAUGAACGCGUAUUGUGUCAAACAGACGCUUGCUCCUGUUUGAAACAGCCCUGUAGUCAGUAAAUCAACUGGAUAGAGAGCAAGGAAAAAAAGAAUGUUGUUCAUUUUCCAAAAGGACAAACACUGAUUUAGAAACGUUAAUUGCAGGGCAGUUGGUUGGAGUUGCUGACUAACAGCAGAACUGUUGCUAGCCCAGAGCUGCCUGAUGCUCACAGCACAAGGAGAGGCACUGGACAAGUGGUGGGACCAUCUCUGACCCUGCUUUCUCCCCUGGCCCAGGCCUGCUUCCCAAUUCCCCCUCUGCAACUAACAGCAAAAGCAGGCGCAGCAGUUUCUGUAGCAAAGCUGUCUCUGCACUGAAAAAUGACCAGUUAAUUCUGCUUUCCACUAAAUGCCAGACUGCUUUUCAUUCACUCCGGCACUGCAGCUUUUCUUAGUUUAUUAUUUAUGUCUCCUCUCAGAGUUUCCCACCUGCACCACCUCUAUCAAUGGGCAUGAAAUACAAAUCAAUAGCAGCUGUGGGUCCAGCAGCGCUGUUGUCAGAGCCUGGCGAGGAACUGGAGGGUGAUGCUGCUGUGAAAACAGGACUGCUUUGUGCAUGCCUGGAGGUGAACCUCAGCUUCCUCAACUCAGCGUGGAGCAAGUGAGCUCUCCCUGUUGGCAUCCUUUGUAUUGAUCCCCUGUGGCACAGGAGGGCUGGACAUGGAGGUAGGUGAAUUCGAUGUGCUAAAUCCAUCCCUGGUUGGACAACAGCAAAACAAGAGCAAAUUUUGACAGUAAAACUCCAGCUACAGCCCACAGUGCCAUUACAUAUUUUCCUGUCCUACUUUACCAUCCGGUGAAGACUUGCUUGGAAAAGUGGAUAUAAUCAGUGAAAUGAGAGAGUCUAAAAAGGUAUUUACCCUAUGGAAAUCAGGAUGACUUCUCUAAAUAGCACUUCUUGCACCCACUGAAGAAGUGC